rnacentral:rRNA from 1 species
GACGCGUCUUGGUUAUUGAUGUUAGAUGCUUGCAUUUAACUGAUUUAACAUUGAGGCGAGUGGCGAACUGGUGAGUAACACGUGGGUAACCUGCCCUUGAAGUAGGGGAUAACACUUGGAAACAGGUGCUAAUACCGUAUAACAACCAAAACCACCUGGUUUUGGUUUAAAAGAUGGCUUCGGCUAUCACUUUAGGAUGGACCCGCGGCGUAUUAGCUUGUUGGUAAGGUAACGGCCUACCAAGGCAAUGAUACGUAGCCGACCUGAGAGGGUAAUCGGCCACAUUGGGACUGAGACACGGCCCAAACUCCUACGGGAGGCAGCAGUAGGGAAUCUUCCACAAUGGACGAAAGUCUGAUGGAGCAACGCCGCGUGAGUGAUGAAGGGUUUCGGCUCGUAAAACUCUGUUGUUGGAGAAGAACAGGUGUGAGAGUAACUGUUCACAUCUUGACGGUAUCCAACCAGAAAGCCACGGCUAACUACGUGCCAGCAGCCGCGGUAAUACGUAGGUGGCAAGCGUUGUCCGGAUUUAUUGGGCGUAAAGCGAGCGCAGGCGGUUUCUUAGGUCUGAUGUGAAAGCCUUCGGCUUAACCGGAGAAGUGCAUCGGAAACCAGGAGACUUGAGUGCAGAAGAGGACAGUGGAACUCCAUGUGUAGCGGUGAAAUGCGUAGAUAUAUGGAAGAACACCAGUGGCGAAGGCGGCUGUCUGGUCUGUAACUGA